GCCCACAAUGCCCACUGGCUGCAAAAUACAUGGAUUCAUUUAGGAGCAUUAAGGUCACACAAAGGGCAUGGGGUCAUUUAGGGGGCAUUAAGGUCACACAAAGGGCAUGGGGUCAUUUAGGGGGCAUUAAGGUCACACAAAGGGCAUGGAUUCAUUUAGGGGGCAUUAAGGUCACACAAAGGGCAUGGGGUCAUUUAGGGGGCAUUAAGGUCACACAAAGGGCAUGGAUUCAUUUAGGGGGCAUUAAGGUCACACAAAGGGCAUGGGGUCAUUUAGGGGGCAUUAAGGUCACACAAAGGGGAUGUAGCCGGGAAAUUCGAGGAAUUAUCAAGUGCUUGUCAAAUUGUG